GACGAACGCUGGCGGCGUGCUUAACACAUGCAAGUCGAACGGACAGGCCCUGCUUUUGUGGGUUGCUCGAGUGGCGAACGGGUGAGUAACACGUGAGUAACCUGCCCUUGACUUUGGGAUAACUUCAGGAAACUGGGGCUCAUACCGGAUAGGAGCUCCUGCUGCAUGGUGGUGGUUGGAAAGUUUCGGCGGUUGGGGAUGGACUCGCGGCUUAUCAGCUUGUUGGUGGGGUAGUGGCUUACCAAGGCUUUGACGGGUAGCCGGCCUGAGAGGGUGACCGGCCACAUUGGGACUGAGAUACGGCCCAGACUCCUACGGGAGGCAGCAGGGGGGAAUAUUGCACAAUGGGCGGAAGCCUGAUGCAGCAACGCCGCGUGCGGGAUGACGGCCUUCGGGUUGUAAACCGCUUUCGCCUGUGACGAAGCGUGAGUGACGGUAAUGGGUAAAGAAGCACCGGCUAACUACGUG
rnacentral:rRNA from 1 species